AUCCUUUUGUAGUUCACGAGCAUGAUGAUUGGGUGUUCAUGCUCUUGUGUGAGAAGUGCUGACCUUGAACCUUGUUAUGACGUUGGCAUAUUCCCCAUCUGAUC
ensembl:snoRNA